GACGAACCGUGCGAACGUUGUUCGGAAUCACUGGGCUUAAAGGGCGCGUAGGCGGCUCUGUCAGUCUCGGGUGAAAUCUUUCGGCUCAACCGGAAACGUGCCUGGGAUACUGCAGAGCUGGAGGGAGGUAGGGGCGGACGGAACUUCCGGUGGAGCGGUGAAAUGCGUAGAUAUCGUCAGGAACGCCAAUGGUGAAGACAGGUGACUGGGCUAGUUCUGACACUGAGGCACGAAAGCGUGGGGAUCAAACGGG
rnacentral:rRNA from 1 species